rnacentral:rRNA from 1 species
AAGAAAGAUGGAGUCGUGCUUAACACAUGCAAGUCGAACGGAAAGGCCCUGCUUUUGUGGGGUGCUCGAGUGGCGAACGGGUGAGUAACACGUGAGUAACCUGCCCUUGACUUUGGGAUAACUUCAGGAAACUGGGGCUAAUACCGGAUAGGAGCUCCUGCUGCAUGGUGGGGGUUGGAAAGUUUCGGCGGUUGGGGAUGGACUCGCGGCUUAUCAGCUUGUUGGUGGGGUAGUGGCUUACCAAGGCUUUGACGGGUAGCCGGCCUGAGAGGGUGACCGGCCACAUUGGGACUGAGAUACGGCCCAGACUCCUACGGGAGGCAGCAGUGGGGAAUAUUGCACAAUGGGCGGAAGCCUGAUGCAGCAACGCCGCGUGCGGGAUGACGGCCUUCGGGUUGUAAACCGCUUUCGCCUGUGACGAAGCGUGAGUGACGGUAAUGGGUAAAGAAGCACCGGCUAACUACGUG